UCGAGAAUCUUCGGCAAUGGGGGAAACCCUGACCGAGCGACGCCGCGUGCGGGAUGAAGGCCCUUGGGUUGUAAACCGCUGUCGUAAGGGAACAAAUCUAGGGGGGUACUCCCCCUUAGUUGAGUGAUCUUAGGAGGAAGGACGGGCUAAGUUCGUGCCAGCAGCCGCGGUAAGACGAACCGUCCGAACGUUAUUCGGUAUCACUGGGCUUAAAGAGUUCGUAGGCGGCCCGACAGGUCAGGUGUGAAAUCCCUCGGCUCAACCGAGGAACUGCGCUUGAAACCGUCAGGCUUGAGGGAGAUAGAGGUGAGCGGAACAGGAUGGUGGAGCGGUGAAAUGCGUUGAUAUCAUCUGGAACACCGGUGGCGAAAGCGGCUCACUGGAUCUUUUCUGACGCUGAGG
rnacentral:rRNA from 1 species